GUGAAUCAUCGAAUCUUUGAACGCAUAUUGCGCUUUUUGGCAUCCCGGGAAGUAUGCCUGUUUGAGGGUCAGUAUUAACAUCAAAUCGGUUUGGUUGUAAAUUGUGACGUUUCCGGAGUUUGGGCUAUCUUAAAUUUUUUGGUUAAGGAGCUUAAAAUUGACCUUUUUUGUGCAUUUUUAGACGUACAUAAUUUUUUUUUAUUUGUUUAUUUUUUUUGUAUGCUUAAAAUUAGUUU
rnacentral:misc_RNA from 1 species